GAUGAACGCUAGCGGCAGGCCUAAUACAUGCAAGUCGAGCGGCAAGUCGAGGAGUAAUCUGAGACCUAGAGCGGCGUACGGGUGCGUAACGCGUAUGCAACCUACCUCAUACAGGGGGAUAGCCCGGAGAAAUCUGGAUUAAUACCCCAUGGCACAGCACAAGGGCAUCUGCGAGCUGUUAAAGAUUCAUCGGUAUGAGAUGGGCAUGCGUCUGAUUAGCUAGUUGGCGGUGUAACGGACCACCAAGGCGACGAUCAGUAGGGGUUCUGAGAGGAAGGUCCCCCACACUGGCACUGAGAUACGGGCCAGACUCCUACGGGAGGCAGCAGUAGGGAAUAUUGGGCAAUGGUCGGAAGACUGACCCAGCCAUGCCGCGUGCAGGAAGAAGGCCUAUUGGGUUGUAAACUGCUUUUAUCUGGGAAGAAAAGGCCCGUGCGCGGGACACUGCCGGUACCAGAUGAAUAAGCACCGGCUAACUCCGUGCCAGCCGCCGCCGUAAAAC
rnacentral:rRNA from 1 species